UACGUAGGGACCAAGCGUUGUCCGGAAUCAUUGGGCGUAAAGCGCGCGUAGGCGGCCCGGUAAGUCCGCUCUGAAAGUCCAGGGCUUAACCCUGGAAAGCGGGUGGAUACUGCCGGGCUUGAAUCCGGGAGAGGGACGCGGAAUUCCUGGUGUAGCGGUGAAAUGCGCAGAUAUCAGGAGGAACACCGGUGGCGAAGGCGGGUCUCUGGGCCGAUACUGACGCUGAGGAGCGAAAGCGUGGGGAGCGAACAGG
rnacentral:rRNA from 1 species